rnacentral:rRNA from 1 species
GUGCCAGCCGCCGCGGUAAUACGGAGGGUCCAAGCGUUGUCCGGAAUCACUGGGCGUAAAGGGUGUGCAGGUGGGGCAGCAAGUCAGAGGUGAAAGCCCGCGGCUUAACCGCGGACGUGCCUUUGAAACUGCUGCUCUUGAGUCCCGGAGAGGUUGCCGGAAUUCGUGGUGUAGCGGUGAAAUGCGUAGAUAUCACGAGGAACACCAGAGGCGAAAGCGGGCAACUGGACGGGUACUGACGCUCAGGCACGAAAGCGCGGGGAGCAAACAGGAUUAGAAACCCCAGUAGUCC